rnacentral:sRNA from 1 species
CAAUAGCUCGCGUUAGGGAUUGAACGGCAUGUUUGAAAUCCUGUUUGUUUUUCCUUAAAAAAAACAAACAGAUUGAGUAGUGAAAGCCCGACCCUUU